AUACAGAGGGUGCGAGCGUUAAUCGGAAUUACUGGGCGUAAAGCGCGCGUAGGCGGCUUAUUAAGUCAGAUGUGAAAUCCCCGGGCUCAACCUGGGAACUGCAUCUGAUACUGGUAAGCUAGAGUUUUGGAGAGGGAAGCAGAAUUUCAGGUGUAGCGGUGAAAUGCAUAGAGAUCUGAAGGAAUACCAGUGGCGAAGGCGACUUCCUGGCCAAAAACUGACGCUGAGGUGCGAAAGCGUGGGUAGCAAACGGGAUUAGAAACCCUAGUAGUCC
rnacentral:rRNA from 1 species